rnacentral:rRNA from 1 species
GGUGAGUAACACGUGGGCAACCUACCUUAUAGUUUGGGAUAACUCCGGGAAACCGGGGCUAAUACCGAAUAAUCUGUUUCACCUCAUGGUGAAAUAUUGAAAGACGGUUUCGGCUGUCGCUAUAGGAUGGGCCCGCGGCGCAUUAGCUAGUUGGUGAGGUAACGGCUCACCAAGGCGACGAUGCGUAGCCGACCUGAGAGGGUGAUCGGCCACACUGGGACUGAGACACGGCCCAGACUCCUACGGGAGGCAGCAGUAGGGAAUCUUCCACAAUGGGCGAAAGCCUGAUGGAGCAACGCCGCGUGAGUGAAGAAGGAUUUCGGUUCGUAAAACUCUGUUGUAAGGGAAGAACAAGUACAGUAGUAACUGGCUGUACCUUGACGGUACCUUAUUAGAAAGCCACGGCUAACUACGUGCCAGCAGCCGCGGUAAUACGUAGGUGGCAAGCGUUGUCCGGAAUUAUUGGGCGUAAAGCGCGCGCAGGUGGUUUCUUAAGUCUGAUGUGAAAGCCCACGGCUCAACCGUGGAGGGUCAUUGGAAACUGGGAGACUUGAGUGCAGAAGAGGAUAGUGGAAUUCCAAGUGUAGCGGUGAAAUGCGUAGAGAUUUGGAGGAACACCAGUGGCGAAGGCGACUAUCUGGUCUGUAACUGACACUGAGGCGCGAAAGCGUGNGGAGCAAACAGGAUUAGAUACCCUGGUAGUCCACGCCGUAAACGAUGAGUGCU